CACGGGGGGAACGAGCGUUGUUCGGAUUCACUGGGCGUAAAGAGCACGUAGGCGGAAGGGCAAGUCAGACGUGAAAACCCGGGGCUUAACCGCGGGCCUGCGUUUGAAACUGCCUUUCUUGAGUACGGGAGAGGAUGGCGGAAUUCCUGGUGUAGCGGUGAAAUGCGUAGAUAUCAGGAAGAACACCGGUGGCGAAGGCGACCAUCUGGACCGAUACUGACGCUGAGGUGCGAAGGCUAGGGGAGCAAACAGGAUUAGAUACCCCCGUA
rnacentral:rRNA from 1 species